UACAGAGGGUGCAAGCGUUGUUCGGAAUCACUGGGCGUAAAGCGCAUGUAGGCGGCUUUUCAAGUCAGGUGUGAAAGCCCACGGCUUAACCGUGGAAGUGCAUUUGAAACUGUAAAGCUUGAGUAUGGGAGAGGAUGGUAGAAUUCCUGGUGUAGUGGUGAAAUACGUAGAUAUCAGGAGGAAUACCGGUGGCGAAGGCGGCCAUCUGGCCUAAUACUGACGCUGAGAUGCGAAAGUGCGGGGGGAUCAAAACAGG
rnacentral:rRNA from 1 species